UGCUUUAUUCAGUCAUGAAGAUGAAGUGAGUUUGUUUAUCUAGUUUAAAAAACAAACAAAACAAAACAAAAACAAAACAGCAAAUGAAGUCUUUCUCCUCUAAAUGUAAUGUCCUUCUCCAAAACUACACAGUGCACCUAGAAGCCCAUGUGGACAAAACAAAUAAUGUCUCACAAACCUUUAUGAAUCCCUGUGUGACUCUACAAAUCUACGUUUUAUCGAAACCAGGUUCGAGUCUCUCCAUGUACCGAUCAAUGUAAACCCGCAGCUCAGGGUAGAUACACACAUGCAACCACAGCUCACUAACUAUCUGAGCUUUCACAUAGAUCAUAUGAGGUGAACUACAAAAGGGCCUGCAUGCGCCUCCAAAUUCAUAAGCAGAUCUAGUUUCAUAGAACAAGGUAAUCCAGUGCAGGUUUUCUUCCUCUGCUGCAUCGUGCCACAUGUUGCAAUCCUUGCACAAAAGAUAACUGUCACUUGUGCAGCGUCUAUCAGAUAAAAAAAAAAAAAAGAAAAAAAGAAGAAAAUCACCGCCACAGACUGUAGUAGCCUGCAAGUUAACACCUUUUUUGCAGAGAAGCCUGACAGCUCUAAAUCUGAUUAUCAACAGCAACGAGCGAUAGAUGGGCUGCAUGUGUGCUCCCAUGCUGCAAAGCUGUCAUACUCAAUCAGGCGACUGGGCUAUUUCAAACAAGAUGGACUGAAAAAUAAAAAAUAAAAAAAAAAAACGUGCAAACUUUAGUAGAUGGAGAGCAGAUAAAUCAGGUAAAUUCCACAUGGCUGUCAGGGAUCCAUCCAGCUCUCCACCCUCCACAUCCACACGUGUUGGAUGCUAGUUGAGAGGGACUGUUUAACACACUGUGACACACCAACUAAGCAAGAAAAGAAAGAUAUCCAAGGGAAGCUACAAACGAUGUCGUGUUCAACAUAAGUGGCACAUGUAUUAGUUAAAAACACAUCUUGGUGAAAGCUACCAGACGGCACGCACGUUUUGUACUCGCUGUGGUAACAGUUAGAGAGCAACAAGCUAGGCCUACCCAGGGCAGGCGGCCAUGCUCACAUAGCUCUUUUUUUUAGUGGACAGUAAGCGGACUCAUAAGUGAGAAGGGGUGCUUCUCGUCCUUUUUAUGUACUCAUGUGAGGAACAUACGCAGUCGCUACAGCUAAAUAAACCCGUAUUUAACAACAGAAGACCCCCAGUCGUAUCCAGCAUCCUUAAAGCAAGGCAGCGAGCCAAGAAUACGGGAAAGGAGAGAGCAACAUAGGGGAGAAUUUCAAGACGUGCACAAAAGGGUUCCUGAACGGAGGAGCUUGGUCCAUCUUCUUCCCAUCUCCUUCCAUCGCACACUGUCUGUUCGUCGGCAGCCUCAUCCUCACAAGAAGUAACGUCCGUCGAGAUUGCAGCUAUGUGCCUAAUAAUUCAAAACAGAGAACUGCUUCAGUCUGAAUGGAAGAGUCUUCACGCAGAACGCAGUUCCCCCCUGUCUGUCUUGCACGGUGGCUAAUUGAGGUGGCAGUGCAGGGUUAUUACUGCUAUCUUUCCUACGCGGACAGCAUGGAGGGAUAAUGGUUAGCUCAAGGAUUAGCUGGGGAUAUGUCAAGUCGCCGAUAUCUUUGUGCCUACAGUGCGCAGGACGCCUUCCUCCACGCACCGUGUUCCCCCCAACCAGUCCGCUAGCUCUGGAUGCUAACGGAGCCACGAUUCCUCUGCUCUGACAGCGCGCAUGCGCAGGACACAUCCCUCGUAUCCUAGCACGAUGUGAUGCUGCCUUCAAAAUUAUCCAAAAUAUCGUAAUUUAAAUUACAAUAUAGGUUUUCAGUCCUUGUCUGCUACUGUCAUGGACACAAGGAUUGCGUAAACCAAAAUUAUAAAACUGUUAUUGUGUGAGUUUAGUGUUAUGUAAUUAAUAUAUGUAUAUGUGUUAUUAAAGUUAACUUAAAACA